UGAACCAAGGUCUGCUCCAGUCAAUGGGGGUUAGCCACAGCUCGAUCGAGACUGUGAUCAAAACCACGGUCAAGCACAAGCUUGUCUCUAAAAUGGAACGAGGGACGGUGAUGUUCUCCAAAGUAAAGAAUGACGACAAAGUCGUGACGUUGGUCGAGUGUGAGACGAUGUUGUUAUCACUGUUAUGGAACACUUUACGAGGUCAUUCCGCCAAUGUGUGUCUCUGGCUCUAAAUCAGCCACAAAUCGUUUUCAGUUCUUCUUUGAACAUAAGGUUCACUCUUUUUUUAAUCCUUUGAACAAAAUUUGUCUAUUUGAUCUUGUCCCUUAUUUAAACAUUUCUUCUUUGUUUCUAAUCGCUGGCUAAUCUGUCUACUAGAAUAAAGAUAGGAUUUCGACAUUAUCAUCUCUGAAUAGGUUUGGAUCAUCUCUCAAUAGUGAUUUAAAGCACAUGAUUUAGAGAUUUGGGGCUGCGAUUCUACCAAGAACAAAGAGGAUGAUAAUCAAGAGAGUUCUUCAGUUCAGAGUAUUGAAAACUUUGACAUACGAAGAGGAAUAUGUUUGUGUGUAGACCAGCUCAUCUAUUUGGAAAAGAAGGUUUCUUCUGCUUUCUCAAACAUGUGUUCUUUUAGUUUAUCUAAAGUCCUCUCAAUUUUCUAACAUGUUUCUGUCGUCAUACAUUGCUACUCUUUAUAUAGUUUGCUGUUCUAAAUCUAUCAUAUAUGUCUCCCAUCUUUGUCUUUUUAGACUUGGAAUAGAUGAUAUAUAUAUGCUCGAAUAAAAUACAUGUUAUGAUGAUUGCAAAGUCAAAUAAAUAUGCUUUUAAUAGUU